rnacentral:rRNA from 1 species
UACGGAGGGUGCGAGCGUUGUUCGGAAUUACUGGGCGUAAAGGGCGCGCAGGCGGCUGCUCAAGUCAGGCGUGAAAGGCCUGGGCUCAACCCGGGAAUUGCGCUUGAGACUGGGCUGGCUUGAGUGCGGGAGAGGAUGGUGGAAUUCCCAGUGUAGAGGUGAAAUUCGUAGAUAUUGGGAAGAACACCGGUGGCGAAGGCGGCCAUCUGGACCGCAACUGACGCUGAGGCGCGAAAGCGUGGGGAGCGAACAGG